rnacentral:rRNA from 1 species
UAUACAGCGGAACUGCGAAUGGCUCAUCAUAUAAGUUAUCGUUUAUUUGAUAGUGCCUUACUACUUGGAUAACCGUGGUAAUUCUAGAGCUAAUACAUGCUAAAAACCCCGACUUCGGAAGGGGUGUAUUUAUUAGAUACAAAACCAAUGCCCUUCGGGGCUCUUUGGUGAUUCAUGAUAACUAUACGAAUCGCACGGCCUUGCGCCGGCGAUGGUUCAUUCAAAUUUCUUCCCUAUCAACUUUCGAUGUUUGGGUAUUGGCCAAACAUGGUUGCAACGGGUAACGGAGGGUUAGGGCUCGACCCCGGAGAAGGAGCCUGAGAAACGGCUACUACAUCCAAGGAAGGCAGCAGGCGCGCAAAUUACCCAAUCCCGACUCGGGGAGGUAGUGACAAUAAAUACUGAUACAGGGCCCUUUCGGGCCUUGUAAUUGGAAUGAGUACAAUUUAAAUCCCUUAACGAGGAACAAUUGGAGGGCAAGUCUGGUGCCAGCAGCCGCGGUAAUUCCAGCUCCAAUAGCGUAUAU